GGGAAAGUAGAGUGGCGCACGGGUGAGUAACGCGUGGGUAACCUACCCUUGAACUGGGGAUAACUCCGCGAAAGCGGGGCUAAUACCGAAUAAUAUUCCGACUUCCAAGGGAGUUGGAAUCAAAGGUGGCCUCUGCAUGCAAGCUAUCGUUUAAGGAUGGGCCCGCGUACCAUUAGCUUGUUGGUAGGGUAAUGGCCUACCAAGGCAACGAUGGUUAGCUGGUCUGAGAGGAUGGCCAGCCACACUGGAACUGAGACACGGUCCAGACUCCUACGGGAGGCAGCAGUGGGGAAUCUUGCGCAAUGGGGGAAACCCUGACGCAGCAACGCCGCGUGGGUGAUGAAGGCCUUCGGGUCGUAAAGCCCUGUCAGGUGGGAAGAAUUGUGUCGGUGUUAAUACCACCGAUGCUUGACGGUACUACCGGAGGAAGCACCGGCUAACUCCGUGCCAGCAGCCGCGGUAAUACGGAGGGUGCAAGCGUUGUUCGGAAUUAUUGGGCGUAAAGCGCGUGCAGGCGGUUGGGUAAGUCAGAUGUGAAAGCCUUCCGCUUAACGGAAGAAGUGCAUUUGAAACUGCUCGGCUGGAGUACGGGAGAGGAGAGUG
rnacentral:rRNA from 1 species